rnacentral:rRNA from 1 species
ACUCCUACGGGAGGCAGCAGUGGGGAAUUUUGGACAAUGGGGGAAACCCUGAUCCAGCCAUGCCGCGUGAGUGAAGAAGGCCUUCGGGUUGUAAAGCUCUUUCAGCCGGAACGAAACGGUCACGGCUAUUACCUCUGACCACUUACGGUACCGGAAGAAGAAGCACCGGCUAACUACGUGCCAGCAGCCGCGGUAAU